rnacentral:rRNA from 1 species
AGCAGCCGCGGUAAUUCCAGCUCCAAUAGCGUAUAUUAAAGUUGUUGCAGUUAAAAAGCUCGUAGUUGAAUUUCGGGGUCAGUAGGCUGGUCGUGCCACAGGUACGCACUGGUCUCACUGAUUCCUCCUUCCUGAUGAACCGUAAUGCCAUUAAUUUGGUGUUGCGGGGAGACUGGACUGUUACUUUGAAAAAUUAGAGUGUUUAAAGCAGGCUAACGCUUGAAUACAUUAGCAUGGAAUAAUGAAAUAGGACGUUCGGUCUUAUUUUGUUGGUUUCUAAGAUUGACGUAAUGAUUAAUAGGGAUAGUUGGGGGCAUUAGUAUUCAAUUGUCAGAGGUGAAAUUCUUGGAUUUAUUGAAGACUAACUACUGCGAAAGCAUUUGCCAAGGAUGUUUUCAUUAAUCAAGAACGAAAGUUAGGGGAUCGAAGACGAUCAGAUACCGUCGUAGUCUUAACCAUAAACUAUGCCGACUAGGGAUCGGAUGAUGUUAAUUUUUAAUGACUCAUUCGGCGUCCG